rnacentral:misc_RNA from 1 species
GAUGAAGAACGUAGCGAAAUGCGAUAAGUAAUGCGAAUUGCAGAAUUUCCGUGAGUCAUCGAAUCUUUGAACGCACAUUGCGCCCACUGGUAUUCCGGUGGGCAUGCCUGUUCGAGCGUCAUUAUCCUCCCUCAAACCCCGGGUUUGGUGUUGGACCCAAGUUGUGUGAACAACUGGUCUCAAAGACAAUGACGGCGUCCGUGGGACCCUCGGUGCAACGAGCUUUUAGGAGCACGCAUCGAGUUGCAAGGACCUUCCGGGCCGGUCUCCUUUACCAUUUUACAAGGUUGACCUCGGAUCAGGUAGGAAUACCCGCUGAACUUAAGCAUAUUCAAUAAGCGGAGGA